GGAUACCUAAUACUUCAAAAAGAAAAUACUAAAAUGAAAAAAAAACCACGACCCCAGCUGCCAAAUUUCGAAGCUCAGAAUUAUCGGAAACUGUUCGAAGCGUUACGUUAGGAAUACCAGGGAAGAAAAAUGUUUCCACAGAGAAUAAGAUUCGUAGACCAUUUACAACGGUCACACGGAAUGACAGAAAGUAAGAGGCUUUGACAGAACCUUAAACUUGAGGAUUUAGGAUCCGAAAAUCAAGAGAUCUGGCCUCAUAUCAACGGCUUUUCGCGUUGGUAAGAGAUAGCAACACUAGACGUAGAGAACUCUGUGUCAUUCCGAUCCUAGAUUUAGUUUUCAAACCAGCGACGUGCUUUCAACUCUCCUAAGUACUCCUGUCCGUGCCAAGAUCGAUGGUAAUACUGGAUCUCCCAUUCAACUCCACUAAAUGGGCAAAACUUGAAAUUUCAAGAACUGAUGUCAACUUCAACCUCUUUUAAAGAUGCUUUACAAAUCAAGAAAAAGGUGUGAAAGAUCUGGCGUUCUGAUAGGUGGAUAUCUAAGGUGGCGAUGAGAUUUCUCGCCGAUAUUCCUACUAAAUAACAUCCAAGUGUUAAAGUUUUUUUCUGCAUUUUUUUAAGAAAGCGUUGAAUCUUUUACUAUAGCUUCAAACACGCGGAGGUUUCUUUGUCAAUUUAGUGUCAAAGUUAUGGUCACUAAAAAGAGGUGUGAAAACCACUCCACUGAGUUUAAACUUUCUUUAGAAUUCACUGCGAAAAACAACUUCUGUUCAUUUACAAAAGACAAAUAAACUUUAAAGAACACAUUAAAAAAUCUCACCUAUAAGUAAAA